rnacentral:rRNA from 1 species
ACUACGGGUGGCAGCAGUGGGGAAUAUUGGACAAUGGGCGAAAGCCUGAUCCAGCCAUGCCGCGUGUGUGAAGAAGGCCUUCGGGUUGUAAAGCACUUUCAGUGGGGAAGAAAGCCUUGGGGCUAAUACCCUCGAGGAAGGACAUCACCCACAGAAGAAGCACCGGCUAACUCCGUGCCAGCAGCCGCGGUAAUACGGAGGGUGCGAGCGUUAAUCGGAAUUACUGGGCGUAAAGCGCGCGUAGGCGGUCUGAUAAGCCGGUUGUGAAAGCCCCGGGCUCAACCUGGGAACGGCAUCCGGAACUGUCAGGCUAGAGUGCAGGAGAGGAAGGUAGAAUUCCCGGUGUAGCGGUGAAAUGCGUAGAGAUCGGGAGGAAUACCAGUGGCGAAGGCGGCCUUCUGGACUGACACUGACGCUGAGGUGCGAAAGCGUGGGUAGCAAACAGGAUUAGAUACCCUAGAGUC